rnacentral:misc_RNA from 1 species
GCAUGUGGAAGCGGCGGGAGUUUGUGGGGAUAAUAAAUAGGAAGAAGGCGUUUAAACGGAAGCGUGUUUGUAUGGAUUAAUUGGAGUGAUCGAUCACAGGCGGCCGUGAUGGGGGGGAAGUUGGUGUUCGGUGUGGCGGUUGGUGUAGCGGUGGCGGCUUGUGCGGUGGCUACGGUGGUAGUCGGUCGGAGAGUUAAGAGCCGGAGUAAGUGGAAGAGAGUGGUGGGGGUUUUAGAAGAGCUUGAAGCGGCUUGUGAUACUCCUGUGAGGAGAUUGAGGCAGGUGGUUGAUGCUAUGGCUGUGGAAAUGCAUGCUGGGUUGGCUUCUGAAGGUGGUUCCAAGCUUAAAAUGCUACUCACAUAUGUUGAUAAUCUGCCUAAUGGGAGCGAGAAAGGAACAUUUUAUGCUCUGGAUCUUGGGGGUACUAAUUUUAGGAUUUUGAGAGUUCAUCUCGGUGGCCAGAGAUCUCUUAGCUUGAAAAAUGAUGUGGAGCGGC